rnacentral:rRNA from 1 species
CCACGGGGGGCAGCAGUGGGGAAUAUUGGACAAUGGGCGAAAGCCUGAUCCAGCCAUGCCGCGUGUGUGAAGAAGGCCUUCGGGUUGUAAAGCACUUUCAGUGGGGAAGAAAGCCUUGGGGCUAAUACCCUCGAGGAAGGACAUCACCCACAGAAGAAGCACCGGCUAACUCCGUGCCAGCAGCCGCGGUAAUACGGAGGGUGCGAGCGUUAAUCGGAAUUACUGGGCGUAAAGCGCGCGUAGGCGGUCUGAUAAGCCGGUUGUGAAAGCCCCGGGCUCAACCUGGGAACGGCAUCCGGAACUGUCAGGCUAGAGUGCAGGAGAGGAAGGUAGAAUUCCCGGUGUAGCGGUGAAAUGCGUAGAGAUCGGGAGGAAUACCAGUGGCGAAGGCGGCCUUCUGGACUGACACUGACGCUGAGGUGCGAAAGCGUGGGUAGCAAACAGGAUUAGAUACCCUUGUAGUC